AUAAGUGAAUAGUGAAAUCUGGCGGCUCAACCGUACAGGCUAUUAUUCAAACUGUAUAACUCGAGAAUGGUAGAGGUAACUGGAAUUUCUAGUGUAGGAGUGAAAUCCGUAGAUAUUAGAAGGAACACCAAUGGCGUAGGCAGGUUACUGGGCUGUUUCUGACACUGAGGCACGAAAGCGUGGGGAGCGAACGGGAUUAGAUACCCCGGUAGUCCACGCCGUAAACGAUGGAUGCUA
rnacentral:rRNA from 1 species